GGAGCUUAAGGCGGUCUGCAGAGAGACGGACAGAGAGGAGGUGGUGUUAGGAGCAGUUUGAUUUAUUCAGAUUAAAAUCACACAAGCUAACGAAGAAGAGCUGACUCCUCCUCCUCCAUCAGCCCACAGACUGAUGAAUCCCAGAAAUGGCGACAGGCGACCGAAUGAAACAAACGUUACUUUGAGUAAACUUGUGGAUUUCUCUGGUUUGAACAUUGCUGGAAUCGUCUGGGACAAAGUGAGAACACAACUAAAGAAACAUAGUGACACCAGUCUGGUGCAGAAUUCUAACAUAUUACAUUUUGACUAUUUUCAAUAGUGAAUUUACAAACUUUACACCUGACAAGUUUCUGGCUGAAAAAACAACAAAUGUUCAUUUUGGUUCAAAAAUAAAACUGAGAAACUUUUUUUCAGUAAAAACAAAGUUGAGCUCAGUUUAAUCAGCAACUACUUUAAUUAACUGUCAAAUGUUUAGGUGUUAUUUGCCCCUAAGACAUCACUGGCUGGUUCUUUGGGUCACUGAUGUUCAGUUCUGACUUUUAGGAAAUACAGAGAAUUUCAAGACGUUACCUAAGACGGACAUUUUCAACCACUGUCUUCAUUUAAAGCCCAAACUAUGAAUGAGUUGGCUGGGAGAAGAAUCUGCUCAGUGAUUAUUCAUAAAGAUAAUCACACGUCGAGUCUCCUUCCUGCUGGAGGACGAGGAGCCGACGGACUGGAACACCGAGUCACUGUGAAACGUAAACAGCAGCUUCCAUGGCUGCCUCCCUGUGUUAACAAGGAAAUGAGCUGGCUUCACUUAUUGUUCGUCUUUGUUGUGAACGCAGACGAGGCCGGCGUGAACACAAACACACUGGAUGACCCGAGAGAGACAGAAACAACGUCUGAUAAGAGAGCAGAACCAGCCUAAACACGUCAGCCAGGAGAAAACAUUCCUCUGGAUCUCACUCACACUCAUGACAGGAAGAGCUGCUGUGAUGUCAUUCUUCAGCCUGAGGUGACGAAUCCAAGUUGUUUUGUCCGACCAACAGCUCAUUAUUUCUGCCUCUGAAGCAGUUCUGCCAUUAAAACUUGAUAAUAAAAGAAAACAUGUGUAAAAUCACAUGGUUAUGUAGAAGGACGCCUUUUUAUCCAACCUGGAGUUUCAUCAGAUGCUUCGCUGUGUCUGUGGGUUCUGCACUGUUUGCUGUUCAGGCAACAUGAAGCUCCACCUCUGACCUCCUGAGCGAGUUAAGACCACGAUCACAACUCAAGAGAGCAGCUGAGCCGAGCCGCCUCCACCCGUCCCUCUGCUGAACCACCUGGCCCGGCUGCGGCCCGGCGCCGCCCCGACAGAUUGGUCAUUAACGCAGGCGGAGGAGUGGUCUGAGGAGACGGCCAUCUGGAAGAUCCUUCAGGUGUCUGUCAGCUGUUCUGAGGCCAGAGGGCUUCUCACAGACACUCAUGUUAGGAUCACUUUGAGAUGUCUGUAAUGAGGCGGCCAUUUUGACCCCAGUCAGCUGACGUGAGCAGCAGAGUUGAGAGUAAUGACUGCAGGGCUGCAGAUAAAGUCUGUUUUCAGUUUCUUUGACAAACUCUCUUUGUUUUCCUGACUGAAUACACAAACUGGCUUCACAUUGUUUUCAUCUGUUUACAUGUGGCGGACCCUGCCACCUUUCUAGCUUCCCUUCCAGCCCUUUAAUCUGACAGUUAUGUUCUUGAUUUUACUGGAACAUGAUGCGUUCAAAUGUCUUGCAGGGCUGCAGCCAAUAAUUAUUUUCAUUUUCACUCAUUUUCUCAUUGAACUGAUCAGUUGUUUGGUUGAUAAAAUGUCAGAAAAUGGUAAAAACUAAACAAUGUUUGGUGUUUUGUUGACAACCUGAAGAUCUUCAGUUUACUUCAGUUUAGAGGAGGAAGGAAACCAGAAAUUCACAUUUAACAAGCUGACAUCAGAAGAUUUGGAAAAUAAAAUCACUCAAACUGAUUAAUCAAUCAUCAGAAGAGUUGUUGAUCUAUCUAACAGCUGAGAGCCAAUUGAUUAAUCGCUGCAGCUCUUGUUCUAACUUGUUCUCUCUGCUGCUGGUCGCUGACAGCUACAGAACAACAUGUUGUGUGUCUGCAGCGAUGAACACACCGUCUCAUGUCUCUGAGGUCAUGGUGCGUUUCACCAACAGUUUAAAAUCCAAAAUGAAUCAAUUUCCAGCCGUGUAAAGCAGACAGAAGCACACGAGAGGAGCUGGGAGCUGAGAAUAGAUUAACAGUUUAAUUAUUUCAGCUUUAAAUAACUGUUCAUAGCAGAGGAGGUUUAUAAAUGAGAACAGCUGGAAGGAUAAUACAUCUUAAUCAGUCUAUAUAUAACUGAACAGGAUCAAUGUCACACCUCUCAGCCGUGAGUACAGUGAGUGUGACCUCUUUAUAUCCUCCUGUAACAUGACUAGAACAUGAAAUAAUGCAGUUAUUAAGACCGUUUUAAAGCCUGUGAUUGGCUCAUUAACUCCAAGCUGUCCAUCCAGGCAGGAAACGUGAUUACAGGAUUGUUUUGAAGCCGUCAGUCUGGCAGGGAUCCAGCUAUCAUCCUGAGAGCUGACCGAACCGGCCCAACCUGUAGUUUCUAAUGGCAGAACAUGUCAUCAGACGGGCCUGCUCUCACAAGAUGGCAUCACUGAUCUCCACGUUAACAUACAGCCGUGUGUUCUCUGACAGCCAUUAAACUACAGCGCAGGCAGCCAGCGCCAGCCUCCAUGUUGUUUUUAUGAGGAGUGGGUUAUCAUGACGAGCUAAAGCUAACAACAGUUAGCUCGGCGAUGACACAGUGGAUUCCUGAGGAGGAUGUAAACAAAAACGGCCGUUGACUCAAACACCACGUCCUCAGCUGCUAGCUUAGCUUCUGCUAGCUCACAGCGGCGCGUGGUCGCGAGGAAGGACACACAACG